rnacentral:antisense_RNA from 1 species
GGGGCUGACUCAUAAGAGUCUGACUCCCUCCAACAAUGACAAUAUAUAGAAUGGUUUUAUUAAUGGUUGUCAAUCUGUGUAAUGGAGGAGUCUGACCCUUUACUUUCGAGUCAGCCUCUUUCUUUCAAGCACGGCGUAUACCAAGUUUCCUUACUCGUUCUCUAAUAGUUGAAAUUACAAUUGAACUAGCAAGCCAUAAUACUAGUCCUGCGAAUAUACUCAAAAUCCAGUUGUGGCUAGCCUUCAAUACUGCGAGUACAGUCGAAACGCAAACAACUCCACCAAUCAUUCCAUAAAUUGAUCCUUGAGCAAUUUUAGCUGCCUUCUUUGAGCCUGAAGAAACACCCACCAUUAAGACAGCUGUAAGCAUGACAGCCGGAAAUGCCGCAAAGAUUCCGGCAAGUAUUUUCCACGGGGA